ACAUACAAUCAAACUUUUUUCUACGUAUACUCAAAUAUACAUUUUAAAGAAGACAAAAGCUUGUGCUGCUCAGGGCAAGGUAAACAGAAUUGCCAAUGGUAAUAGGUUGGUAAUAGGUUACUCACUUAUUUGUCUGAUGGGUUACGUAAGGUUAAGGGAACCCAUAACAAUUUAAAAUGAUAUAAAAUAGAAAAAGCAGUAAAGCAGUGUCUUUGCUUUUGUAAAUGAAUUCAAUAAUUAAUCCAUUUAAAAAUAAUAGUUGCUGAAUUUUCUGUUAAUCAACUUAUAAAUUAAUUGACUAAUCAUUUCAGCUCUUCUCCGAUGGCUGUAAGAUAGAGAUAGAUAGAUAGAUAGAUAGAUAGAUAGAUACUUUAUUGAUCUCCAAGGGGAAAUUUAAGGUCCCCAUAGCUUAAAGACAUUACACACAUAUACGUCAUAAACAGGAUGAUAAAAACAAAUCCACAUGAAUAAUAUGGACAAUAAAAGAAAAGAUACUAAAUACAAAUCCACAUGAAUGGACUAAGGAAUGUAUAAGCAUGAGAUGCUUGCAGUGACAGGGCAGGGACUGACCCUGUAAUUCAGUAUGCAUGGUAAGCUAAGGUGCUCUAUGAAAGUGUGUGUCAUGGUGGAAGUGCAAAUAAGUCCAAUAAAAAAACUAUAGCAGUGCAAGGAUAAAGUAAAACAAAAGACAGCGUUACAUAUUGGCAUUAUAAGGGAAUAAAUUAGAUAAUAGGAUAGA